rnacentral:rRNA from 1 species
UACGAAGGGGGCUAGCGUUGUUCGGAAUUACUGGGCGUAAAGCGCGCGUAGGCGGCUUUGUAAGUUAGAGGUGAAAGCCCGGAGCUCAACUCCGGAACUGCCUUUAAGACUGCAUCGCUGGAGUGCGGCAGAGGGGGGUGGAAUUCCGCGUGUAGCAGUGAAAUGCGUAGAGAUGCGGAGGAACACCGAUGGCGAAGGCACCCCU